CUUAGAUCAGUUUUAUGUCUCAUGCUAAUGAUGAAAAAUGGGACUUAAAGAGGCCAAUCUGACCAUGGACCUGGAUCAGAAUGACUGUUGUGGUGACGUAACUAUCAAUGCCUGGUGUUACAGCCAUGGCCCAUAUUGGAUUGUUCUGUUCAGCAGUCUAUGGAAGGAGCAGACACCUCUUCUUCUUCUUAUCGACACAGUACUAAAGAAAAAGAGGCUGUGGCACCCCUGCUGUACUCUGCUCAAGUCUAAAAAGAAUACCCUGUAGGAAAUCAGACUCAGAUGACAUGAAGAAAAAAAGAACGCUACAAAAGGUUUCCCGUACUUCACUCCACAAAGGCACGAGGUUCAGGCUAGGAUGUUCUAGAGAAAUCUACAGCUGAGAAGAGUGAAAAUAGGAGUGUACUCCUGGUCGAACGUGGGAAAAAGUUAGUAGUAAGUAUUCCAUUGGCAAUGGUGUUACCAAAUUCAGAAUUUAAUGUCCAUAAGUGCAACAGCCCAUGCCCUGUACUCCAGCAGG